GCAUAUCCCAGUUGUUUUACCCCAGCACAUUUCAGCCUCAAGACUGCCCUCUGGCCUCCUUCUCUUCCUUAGUCAGGCCUUCUCCUAUCCUCAGAUUUUUAUUUUGAAUAAGUACUUUUAAUUUUUGAAAUUUUAUUUAAUAAAUAUACAUACCCACAGCCAGGGAUCUGCAACCUCUCUUUCCAGGCAGCAGUAGGACCUGCACAUACUCGCUCCUGGUUGGUGUUUGCUCUGAAGGACAGACAUCAGCAGCCCUUCUUUUCCUCACCUUUGCAAUGAAUCUAGAUACACUGCAGAAUGUCUCCAGAAUAUGUGGUAAAUGUGCCGCCCAUAACAGCUUGAGAGAAGCAUACUCUGUACCGAUGUACAACAACUUCGUAGGGCUCUGGGAAUUGCAAACCUUGGUCUUUCUCAGAGCGCUGAUGUCCCUUACUCAAAUUUUGCAGGAUUCAUACAAAUGGAAAUUGAAUGUUAAUUAAAAUAAAUGAGGCCACCGCAAAUUGUAGCACACUGCUUUUAGCAGCCCUGAAAGAAAAUUCAUGUACUCAUAUUCAAAGACUGGUAUUUGAAAGGACUGUAUAUAGAUCUGCCGCUCAUAACCAACACAUGAAUGAGAUAGAGCAACAGUUUCAAAAAUCAGGACCUGGUAUGGAAAAGCAGAAUAUCCUUCAAAGACUUUGCAUUACCACUGGUUCUACAUAUUCAUCUUGGAACAUCUUCAGUUCUGUCUUGACCACUGUCAAAAUGUUUUAUUGUUGAAGUCAGACUACUGAGGUUUCAGAGACAUUGCUACAGUUUAGUAAAUGUGGGGGAAGGUAUCUCAGCUUUAACUAUUAGAAUAUAAAGGGGAAAACUCCUGUAAAUUAUCAAGAACAGAUUGUAUUUCUAUUCUGUAGGAACCGAGGGACUUCAAACAGAGUAAACAAUAUUUUAAACUAAGUAUUUCCUAGCGUAUGAGAGCUUUCAGAGUACUCUGAAACCCAAAGGAGAAGCUUUAAAUAUGGUUAGAAUACAUAAAAUUACUCUAGGAAGUAUCCUUUUUAAGACCAGUUUAUAUAAUUUCAUCCCCACGCAGACUAGAUCUCGUGUACUAGAUCACCAUAACCACAAAGCUUAAAAAUACGUCAAGGUGGAAAGAGGGCAUGACAGGACAAAAGUCCCAGGCAACAGAGCCACUUAGCAUUAAUGAAGGGUGUGGUUCUGGGAGGUGUUCUAAAGAAAUCGAAAUCACUCAGAUGCCUUUGGCCACCCUAUUAAGUAAAGCAUCUAUAUUUUUGCAGGAGAAACAUAAUACCGCUCUGUAGGUGAGAAAUCUGGAUGGACUGGUGUGUGCCUGUCACUGACAUCUGCUGCAAAACUCUCCCAGAGUUUGCCCACCUUGGUCAUUGAUGUGCUGGGAAUUAGCUAUAUGUCUCUUGACUUUUCAUGUUCUAAUUCCAAUGCACAGUGCUGAGUGUAAAACAUAAAAUUGUGGUUACUCUGCAACAGAUUUGUCCAAAACCCCCCAAAAUAUUAGUAGUUCCAUUAUCUGCCCCUUUAAUUUUAAUUUUGCUCUGGUAUCUAUAGAUUUUCCAGCUACCCCAGUUCCCAGAGAGACUGCUCUUCCACGAACAACUUUCACAAGGGGUAAAAAGAAGGCAUCUAAUUUUGUAGCAUUUUUUAAAAAAGUUUCCAGAAAAAAUAUUACUUUUUUCAUCUCUUCCAAAGAAAGGCUUAGGCAAGACUUGAUUUUCUUUUAAUUUUUUUUUUUUUUUUUUUUUUUUUUUUUAAAUCUGGGAAGCAAGCACUCUACCUCUGAAUCAGUUCAAGAUAAUUGGACACCUGCUGUGGGUGCCAUGAAAAACAUUUUCAGAAUGGUAUCAGGCAAGUUGGCGACAGCAAGCUACCUGGCAUGUUCCAUGGUCCAAGCAUGCCUGCAAACAGGUGCUACAGACCAGAGAGGAUGGAGCAGGUGUAGAGGCAUGGAGCAGGUUAGGGAGGCAGAGCAGUAAUGGAAGGAGGGGAGACAAAACAAGGUGCUGAGCUGAGGGUGUGAAAAACAGGAAGUUGAAGAGAGGAAGAUGAAGGAAAGGUAGGAAGUCUUGGGUAAGGACAAUAUGCAUCUUUAGUGGAGAAUGUAGAACCCCUAAAUCCUGGCAGGGGCCAGAGCUGUGGGAAGUCUCCCUUGGUGGAAAUACAUGCUCUGCACAUCACCCUGUGUUCCAGUCCUUCCAACCUCUUACAAAAUGGGGUCCAGCAGUAGCUCAAAAAUGAUAGAUGAGAUUCAGAUCUUGAUUUGAAUUUGAUCCCACCACCCCCAAACACUGAGCAAUAAACUAGAAGUACAAAAAAAGUGAAAUAUGAAAAAACGAAAAAAAGGGAGAAAUGCAAAGUUGACUAAAGAGGAAAGGGGAAUUACAACUGAUGUGCCCUGGAUUCUGUAUGAAUUUCUUUUUGCUCUCUUGGUUAAGUAUUUCCAGAUCAUGUACCUAGCUAUCCUUUUGCCAGCAUUUAGUAAUUGUCCACUAGUCAAUACCAAGUGCAUCUUUCUAACCUCCCACACUUUUGGGGUCAAAGAGAGCUUUCUCUAGCUCCUGCCAGCUUUAACAGGUGUUGCCCAAUUUUUUCUAGGAAAA